rnacentral:tRNA from 1 species
UUGGAAAGGAACCCCAGUCCUGGCAAAUUAUUACAAUAGUUCUUUUUAACAUUUAUCAAGCU